AUUGAACGCUGGCGGCAGGCCUAACACAUGCAAGUCGAGCGAGCGGCGGACGGUUGAGUAAUGUCUGGUAAACUGCCUGAUGGAGGGGGAUAACUACGGGAAACGGUAGCUAAUACCGCGUACCAUCAGAUGUGGCCAGAUGGGAUUAGCUAGUAGGUGGGGUAAUGGCUCACCUAGGCGACGAUCCCUAGCUGGUCUGAGAGGAUGACCAGCCACACUGGAACUGAGACACGGUCCAGACUCCUACGGGAGGCAGCAGUGGGGAAUAUUGCACAAUGGGCGCAAGCCUGAUGCAGCCAUGCCGCGUGUGUGAAGAAGGCCUUCGGGUUGUAAAGCACUGUCAGCGGGGAGGCGGUACCCGAAGAAGAAGCACCGGCUAACUCCGUGCCAGCAGCCGCGGUAAUAC
rnacentral:rRNA from 1 species